rnacentral:rRNA from 1 species
GAUGAACGCCGGCGGUGUGCCUAAUACAUGCAAGUCGUACGCACUGGCCCAACUGAUUGAUGGUGCUUGCACCUGAUUGACGAUGGAUCACCAGUGAGUGGCGGACGGGUGAGUAACACGUAGGUAACCUGCCCCGGAGCGGGGGAUAACGUUUGGAAACAGAUGCUAAUACCGCAUAACAACAAAAGCCGCAUGGUUUUGUUUGAAAGAUGGCUUUGGCUAUCACUCUGGGAUGGACCUGCGGUGCAUUAGCUAGUUGGUAAGGUAACGGCUCACCAAGGCGACGAUCGGUAGCCGGACUGAGAGGUUGAACGGCCACAUUGGGACUGAGACACGGCCCAG